GACGAACGCUGGCGGCGUGCCUAAUACAUGCAAGUAGAACGCUGAAGGAGGAGCUUGCCUCUCUGGAUGAGUUGCGAACGGGUGAGUAACGCGUGGGUAACCUGCCUGGUAGCGGGGGAUAACUAUUGGAAACGAUAGCUAAUACCGCAUAAUAUUGACUAUUGCAUGAUAGUCAGUUGAAAGGUGCAACUGCACCACUACCAGAUGGACCUGCGUUGUAUUAGCUAGUUGGUGGGGUAACGGCUCACCAAGGCGACGAUACAUAGCCGACCUGAGAGGGUGAUCGGCCACACUGGGACUGAGACACGGCCCAGACUCCUACGGGAGGCAGCAGUAGGGAAUCUUCGGCAAUGGACGGAAGUCUGACCGAGCAACGCCGCGUGAGUGAAGAAGGUUUUCGGAUCGUAAAGCUCUGUUGUAAGAGAAGAACGAGUGUGAGAGUGGAAAGCUCACACUGUGACGGUAUCUUACCAGAAAGGGACGGCUAACUACGUG
rnacentral:rRNA from 1 species